rnacentral:rRNA from 1 species
UACAGAGGGUGCGAGCGUUAAUCGGAAUUACUGGGCGUAAAGCGCGCGUAGGCGGCUUUGCAAGUCGGAUGUGUAGACCUCCAGGCUUAACCUGGGAACUGCAUUCGAGACUGCAUUGCUAGAGUAUGGGAGAGGGAAGUGGAAUUUCCGGUGUAGCGGUGAAAUGCGUAGAUAUCGGAAGGAACAUCAGUGGCGAAAGCGACUUCCUGGACCAAUACUGACGCUCAUGUGCGAAAGCGUGGGGAGCAAACAGG